GACGAACGCUGGCGGCGUGCUUAACACAUGCAAGUCGAACGGAAAGGCCCUGCUUUUGUGGGGUGCUCGAUUGGCGAACGGGUGAGUAACACGUGAGUAACCUGCCCUUGACUUUGGGAUAACUUCAGGAAACUGGGGCUAAUACCGGAUAGGAUCUCCUGCUGCAUGGUGGGGGUUGGAAAGUUUCGGCGGUUGGGGCUGGACUCGCGGCUUAUCAGCUUGUUGGUGGGGUAGUGGCUUACCAAGGCUUUGACGGGUAGCCGGCCUGAGAGGGUGACCGGCCACAUUGGGACUGAGAUACGGCCCAGACUCCUACGGGAGGCAGUAGUGGAGAAUAUUGCACAAUGGGCGGAAGCCUGAUGCAGAAGCGCCGCGUGCGGGAUGACGGCCUUCGGGUUGUAAACCGCUUUCGCCUGUGACGAAGCGUGAGUGACGGUAAUGGGUAAAGAAGCACCGGCUAACUACGUG
rnacentral:rRNA from 1 species